rnacentral:rRNA from 1 species
ACAUGCCUACAGUAUAGUGUUAAUGCACUGAAUCCCAUUAGAACUCCACAGUUAAGCGUGUUCAGGCUAGAGUAGUACUGGGCUGGGUGACCGCACGGAAAGUCCUAUUAUUUUACAUGCC